CCCUGGCUAGUUGAGUGGGUAGAGCAUGAGACACUUAAUCUCAGGAUGAUGGGAUUGAGCCCCACGCUGGGCA